ACUUAUAAUAUAGGCAUACAAGACUGCAAUCACUGAAAUGCCUUGCAACCUGUACAAACAUGGCAUUUACACACUCAUUUUUACAGCCAACCAACAGAAGAUGACUUAGAGUCUGACACAGAUAGGACUCCAAGGCGGAAAAAAGCACGGCGGUCACCAAGGAAACAACAGAGCCCAUUGAAAGCCCCUCAGCAUGCUGCUGUAACUGCUGCCUGUAUGGAGUACCU
rnacentral:lncRNA from 1 species